CAAUUCCGCUUUUAAAGACAGUGUGACGUCAAACCUGACCGCAAGAAAAACGACGAACUCUGCCGUGUGGAAAGUUUAACAACAAUCGCACACCGGAGAUACUGGCACCCCCAGAGAAGGUUAACUUGCGAGAAUCAUUAAUAAAAGCAACUCACGGAGAGAACACCUCCGUUUGUAACAUUCUUGUAAGGAAUGCGGUGCUUCCUUCUGGGGGUUGGAGCCGGUUCAUAAGCUGGUAAUAAGCGUGAUCUGUGGUUUUACCCAUAAUAGCUCAUUAGUAAAUUGCUGCAGAAUUGCAAUGCCUCGCUUGGCACUCUACCGUUCAAGCUGAUAUCGAUGCACGAGCAGGCUGAGCUAUCGCUAUAGAUACAGGAGGACAAACUGGACUAUAAAUAGAAGGCGUACCUGUGAGUGAGUUGGGGGAUGCGGCGAAGCUUGAAAAUCGGUCUAACGAGCCAAAGGACGAAGCCUCCGCCUCGUAGUGCUUGCUUGACCCGGGAGUCUCUCAGGACAUAGCCUGAACUCUGACGAGAUAUAAAACCAAUCAACAGUGGAGGCAGGCGAGAGAUGUCUAAUCUCUAAUUACUCUACAAGCUAUCGACUCGAAUGGUCAUCAACGACAUGAUAGCACUGUACACUGGUGCGCUGUAUUUACAUACCAAUGAAUGCCGCUUGAUUACAUGCACUCUAAGUCAAAUUAAACACGAAUUUGCAUGGAGUGAUUUCAUGCUUAACUCACUAGAGCAGAGCAUUCACCUAUCAUAGGCAGCACUGAGUUGACAAACGUGGAGCCGCGGUACAUUGAUCUAAUCCAGUGGUCGUCACUUAUUUGCUCAUCGAGCGUCUAGACAGCGGUAAACGAAAUUUAAUAGAGAGCAUUUGGUCCACAAAGGGCCGAUAAUAAGUUGAGACGAUGGUUAAUAGGUAUAAAAGAUAGCGAUAUGUAAACAAU